GGACGAGCGCUGGCGGCGUGCCUAACACAUGCAAGUCGAACGGAACUAUUUGACUGAUUCCUUCGGGAUGAAGAAUUUUAGUUAGUGGCGGACGGGUGAGUAACGCGUGAGUAACCUGCCUCUGAGAGGGGAAUAACGUUCUGAAAAGAACGCUAAUACCGCAUAACACAUAUUUGCCGCAUGACAGAUAUGUCAAAGAUUUUAUCGCUCGGAGAUGGACUCGCGUCCGAUUAGUUAGUUGGUGAGGUAACGGCUCACCAAGACCGCGAUCGGUAGCCGGACUGAGAGGUUGAACGGCCACAUUGGGACUGAGACACGGCCCAGACUCCUACGGGAGGCAGCAGUGGGGGAUAUUGCGCAAUGGGGGCAACCCUGAACCGCAGCAACGCCGCGUGAAGGAUGAAGGUUUUCGGAUUGUAAACUUCUUUUAUCAGGGACGAACUCUGACGGUACCUGAUGAAUAAGCUCCGGCUAACUACGUGCCAGCCGCCGC
rnacentral:rRNA from 1 species